rnacentral:lncRNA from 1 species
GGCAUGUAAGAUCAAGGAAAGUUUGGCCGAUGAUGUCAAGGAAUCAGUGAGCAAGCAAGUCCAAGAAGAAGUGGAUGCUCAAGUAAACAAGAAGGUCCAACAAAACUUGACCUUGGCGCUUAAAAAAAUUGCGGAGGCAAACCCAGGCAUCAAAAUUAAUAUGGAGGAUUUUUGUCCAACAGCUUCGAGUGAUGAUGAAAAUGGUACGCCUAUAACUGGCGGUGGUAGCUGCUAGGUUCUCCAUGUUGUCUCCAUCUCCAGUAGUAAUAGUAUUAACCUAUUUCCUGCUUUUGGGUAUAUUUUGGUCAUCAACUAGUUGGUAAAUUAAGGAUUUGGUAAUUUCUUUUGUUUUAGUUUGGUGAAUUGUGAAUUGUGCUUUUGGUUGGAGUUGGUGAAUUGUGGAUUUGGUUGGAGUUGGUAGCUGCUUGGAUUUGGUUGAACUUGUGUAGCUAUUUUGGUUUGUAGAUGUUGAAUUGGUUGGAUUUAUUGGGAAUUUUAAUAUUUUAAACAGUAUAUUUUCAAUUUGUUUCAUGAAAAAAUGUUGC